GACGAACGCUGGCGGCGUGCUUAACACAUGCAAGUCGAACGGAAAGGCCCUGCUUUUGUGGGGUGCUCGAGUGGCGAACGGGUGAGUAACACGUGAGUAACCUGCCCUGGACUUUGGGAUAACUUCAGGAAACUGGGGCUAAUACCGGAUAGGAGCUCCUGCUGCAUGGUGGGGGUUGGAAAGUUUCGGCGGUUGGGGAUGGACUCGCGGCUUAUCAGCUUGUUGGUGGGGUAGUGGCUUACCAAGGCUUUGACGGGUAGCCGGCCUGAGAGGGUGACCGGCCACAUUGGGACUGAGAUACGGCCCAGACUCCUACGGGAGGCAGCAGUGGGGAAUAUUGCACAAUGGGCGGAAGCCUGAGGCAGCAACGCCGCGUGCGGGAUGACGGCCUUCGGGUUGUAAACCGCUUUCGCCUGUGACGAAGCGUGAGUGACGGUAAUGGGUAAAGAAGCACCGGCUAACUACGUG
rnacentral:rRNA from 1 species